UACGUAGGAUGCAAGCGUUGUCCGGAGUUAUUGGGCGUAAAGCGCAUGUAGGCGGUUUGUUAAGUGUGGUGUGAAACCUCCGGGCUUAACCCGGAGUGGUCGCUGCAAACUGGCAGACUGGAGGGCUGGAGAGGAAGACGGAAUUCCCGGUGUAGUGGUGAAAUGCGUAGAUAUCGGGAGGAACACCAGUGGCGAAGGCGGGUCUCUGGACAGUUCCUGACGCUGAGGCACGAAGGUCAGGGGAGCAAACGGG
rnacentral:rRNA from 1 species